CCGGCUUAGGAAAGGGGUGAGGGUCGAAGAGGCGAGCCGGCUGGGGUUCCCUGGCUCCCAAGGUGGGCGGGGAGUCACGGGGAUCGUCUCUACUGCUCUGCCAAGCAUGCAGACUUCAAGAUAUCUUCUAGUAAAAGAAACUAUUGAAAGACCCAACAAGAGCCAUUGUCAGUUCAUCUUUUUUCAUCUCAAAAGAUUGGAGGAAAAGCGACUCUCGUACUUGGAAUGGUGGCAUUUGUCCACAAGUUUAUUCUUUUAAAUACACCUGCCUGACACUGACCAGGAGAUCAGAGUGAACAUCGCUAAUAAUGGGACCAAUUGACAUUAUGCGUCUUCUGAUAUGACACACUGAAAGGAACACGGCACCACUUCGGUGAUAUUGCUGGCAAAAUGCAUAAACUACUCAUGAGGAAUCAUACAAACCCAAAUUGAGGGAAAUUCUACAAAAUAAAUGAUGUGAAAUUUUCAAAAAUAUUAAGGUCACCAAAGUCAAGGAAAAACUGAAGACCCAUUCCAGAUUUGAAGAGACUAAAGAGACAUGAAAAGUAAAUAUAACACAUGAUUCUGGAUUGGAUCCUGAAACAGAAGGAAAAAAAUUUUGUGUGUAUAUGUUGGAACCAAAGGCAAAAUUUGAAUGGGAUGAGUAGAUUAGAUGGUGCUACUGUAUCAGUGUCCAUUUUCUGCUUUUGAUGGCUGAGCUGUGGUUAUUAUGUAGGAGAGGGUCUUUGUCUUUUAGGAGAUACACACCGACAUUUGUACGGGUAAUGGGCAUCAAGUCUGCAGAUCACUUUCAAUUGGUUCAUGAAAAAAAUAUAUAUAUGUAUAUAUAUAGAGAGAAUGAUAAAGCAAAUGUGGCAGCUGUUAAUAUUUGGGGAAACUAGGCAAAUGGUAUAUGGCAGUUCUUUGCAUUAUUAUUUCAAUUUCUCUGUGAGUUUGAAAUUAUUUCAAAAUAAAAAGUUAAAGAAAAAAAUGAAAGAUUAUCUUAAAUCAAGAGCCACCAGGUUACUUGCCAUUACCAUUAAAGUGAGGAUGUUUACUAUCGCCAUAAAACAAAUUGCAAAAAUAUAUUUAUAUAAUUUUCCUGGGAUGCUCCAGACCUGCUAAAUAAGAAUAUUGGGGAACUCCGAGAAGCUCCAGAGGUGACACUGAGAAGGGAAAAUUGAAGGAGAAGGAAAACCAGGAGCUUGUGAUGGCUGUAGAUGGGAAAAUUUUCCAUAGGUAGGGUUUUGUUUUUUCCCAUGUAAUUCCUGAUUCCCACCACUGCCUCUAGCAGCCAGGUGAUUAUGAUGCACAGCCAGUGUGGUGAACCACCCUGUAAGCAAGUCCUCUCGGUUCUAGGAGCUCCCGGGUAGGUCUGAGAAGGAAGAAAUCCUGCUUCCUGUCCUUGUCUUAAGGGCAGCUCACAUCCAAGCUACUUCACUUACUAAGGUGUAAAUACCUGAUAAUGACUUAGCUCAGCUUCCCAAACUGUGUUCCUCUAAACACUAAUGCCACUAGGAGAUGUUCCCAGAAAACAAAUGAAAACAAAACAAACAAAAAAUCCAUCUAGUUCUUCGGAUGAGUAAGUCUGUAUAAUGCUGCACAUUGUAGUUCUUUCCUAGAAAUUUAUAAUAUACGUUAGUUUAUAAAUGGCUGCAAAGUAACCCGCUUAAUUUUGCUUAAUUCAGUACUUCACAAACAUUUUUGGCCAGGGAACACUUUCCCCCUCCACUUAACACCUAUCACAUACCAUCUACUUGUGUUCUCCAGGUUUACUUACCCAGGAAGGCCGUAUAUACCAUUAACGGAUACUUCAGGAAAACAUCCCAAGGUAGAUAGGUCUCAGGCG